UACAGAGGUCUCGAGCGUUAGGCGGAAUCACUGGGCUUAAAGCGUGUGUAGGCGGAUCUGUAAGUACCUUGUGAAAUCCCACGGCUCAACCGUGGAACUGCUUGGUAUACUGCGGGUCUUGAGCCACCUAGGGGCAAGUGGAACAAACGGUGGAGCGGUGAAAUGCGUAGAUAUCGUUUGGAACGCCAAUGGUGAAAACAACUUGCUGGGGGUGUGCUGACGCUGAGACACGAAAGCCAGGGGAGCAAACGGG
rnacentral:rRNA from 1 species